rnacentral:tRNA from 1 species
GCAUUGGUGGUUCAGUGGUAGAAUUCUCACCUUCCCUGCAGGAGACCUGGGUUCGAUUCCUGGCCAGUGCA